UAGGGAAUAUUGGACAAUGGGGGCAACCCUGAUCCAGCCAUGCCGCGUGAGUGAAGAAGGCCCUCGGGUUGUAAAGCUCUUUUGUCCGGAAAGAAAAGCUUCGGGUUAAUACCCCGGGGUUCUGACGGUACCGGAAGAAUAAGCACCGGCUAACUUCGUGCCAGCAGCCGCGGUAAUACGAAGGGUGCAAGCGUUACUCGGAAUUACUGGGCGUAAAGCGUGCGUAGGUGGUUGUUUAAGUCUGUUGUGAAAGCCCUGGGCUCAACCUGGGAAUGGCAUUGGAAACUGGGCAGCUAGAGUGCGGUAGAGUGUAGUGGAAUUCCAGGUGUAGCAGUGAAAUGCGUAGAUAUGCGGAGGAACACCGAUGGCGAAGGCAAUCCCCUGGGCCUGCACUGACGCUCAUGCACGAAAGCGUGGGGAGCAAACA
rnacentral:rRNA from 1 species